AAUUCUUGCUGGUCUUCUGCUUGAUCCUCUUCUCAAGGACUCUGUGCGAUGCCCGCUGCUACUUUAGAACAUCCAGCAAGUAUGGGUGCAUUUCAAACAGAAACCUCUACGUUUUUGGUGCAGUGUGGAAGACUGAAGAUUGUUACCAAUGCAAGUGUAAGAUGAAUGCGAUGGUUUGCUGCAGCUUGGUUUCAGUCCCCAAGAACUAUGACAGGGUGAACUGCGUUGGUCUCUUCCACAAGAAAAGCUGCUCCAUCCGAGUUGUGAAGAAGACUAAUCCUGACAUAAGCUGCAAAGUCUACAAUGGGGUUGGUUAAGGCUGUUUGAUGUGUUUGUCCUCUUUCUUCUGCACAUCCUCUGGAAGUUAGGUAUAUUCUACAUCUGUGACUUAGAGAAAAUAAGCAAAGCAGCAUGGUUUCAUGAGGAAUGAGUUCACCUCAUGUCUUUCAUAGCUCUAGUUGUGCCAUCUGUCUUAUUUAUGACACUAGAUGGUUUGUCUUAUUAUAUACACAUUUAUAACAAAGCUUUACCACAGAUAACUUUGUGACUUUUUUCUGUUGGGAUCCAGAGUUAAAUAAAUUUUCACAUAUAUCAAAUGAUUUAUUUUUC
rnacentral:lncRNA from 1 species